AUAUCAUUAUUUAUGUUUUUUAUAUGUAACAAUGAUUUACUAAUUGCUUCUUUUAUUAUAGAUGACUUCAGGUAACGAUCCUCCUCGUAGAUCCUUUAUCUCAAAGUUUUCUAAAAAAAAGUUGACUGUUGGACCUAGCAGACCUAGACAGCCUAAUGAAAGUGAGGGGCAGCGAUCAGUUCCACCUGUUAUACCAUCACCACCACCACCCAGGAGUUGGCAGCAGUCCCCUAGUGAGUAGGGUCAGGGAGUCAGAUCCACUUGUUGUUGAUGUACCACCACCGUUUCUUGGGUAUGUCCUUCCUCCGUCGACGAGUCCUCGAUUCCCUCUUCAGAUCAGACACAUGCAGCUCCAUUCUAUCCAUAUUAUCCUCCGCCAGCAUCACAAACUGGUCCAUCCACCAUCCCUUACCGUCCUUACACCCACCCUUGUUAUUACCCAUAUUCGGUGCAGCCAAAACACGGUGGACCAUCUAAACCAGCAGAGGUUGGUGCUAGGGAUUUUGUAGUUGCAGCAGAUAAGCGUCAAUACAUUGAGCUUGAGGGUGAUACGUAAGCCUCAAUUAUUCAAGGCCAUCUAUCCACAAGAUUUGGGAUAUCAUAAAAAGCAAAUAUGAUGCUCCUUACUUAUCAUGGAAGAAGAUCCCAAAGGAAAUUAGAGAUAUGUGAUUUUGAGAAUUUCAGGUAUACUUAUUUGACAUGAAUUCAAAUAUUUAAUUUAAUUUGUAUUAAUAUUUUUUUACAGAAAAAUUUUAGGUGGUUGCCUGAGCAUAACACGAGGAUCAAAAUAAAUUUUGAGAUGAGAGGAUCGAUCCAUCUUAGGGACAUGUUCACGGACAUUAGAAAUUUCGGACAGCGUCCAAUAUGGAUUGAAGAGGGCGUAUGGGCAGAUCUAAGUAGAGCUCGGGCGAAUCUUGAGUUCACAAAAAUAAGAGAGCAAAAUAGAGCAUCUAAUUGCGAGGGUUUAGGAAGCUCCCUUCAUACUGGUGGAUUUAUUCCUCAUACAAAACAUAGAUGAUGAUUGUAAAAGCUUUGAAUUAGUUUAAUAAAUAUGUAUAUUAUUUUAAAUAUAUCUUUUAUUUUCAGAAAGAGUUUCUUGGCUGGGAGCCGACAUCGUUGGAGUUACAUACGAGGACUCACCAACAACAAGCUGACUAUCAGUGGGUUAAUGAAAAGGCUAAAAAAGCUCAUAUGAGAUGUUUUUGUACGAGUUAGGGAAAGUCGUCAGUCCACUGGUGAGGGAUCAUCUUUAGGAUCGACCCAGUAUUCUUAGUAUCAUAUAUAGUCAGAUGUUGUUGGAGGAAGGUAGAGGGGGAGGGUAUAUGGCUUGGCUUCGCAAAGCUAUGCUUAUGAGGGCAGUUCAUCCACCUCAGCAUUUUAUGAUCCUAGUAGAGUUGAAGAAAGUGUAAGUCAGAGAGUUGCAGCGCUGACGAGAGAGAUAGAAGAGAUGAUAAAUAUUCAAAAUGAGAUGCAGGCAGAGCUGCGAUCCUAUAAAGAUGAAAAUCAAAAGAAGAAAGGGCAAGAGCAGUCACAUGCAUCACUAGACAGCGAGGGCACGGAGGAUGAUUAGUACUCUUAUUUGUUUGAUGAACUUGUUGUAUUAAAGUGAGGACUUUAUUUAUUUAUUUGGUUUGAUGAGUUUAUUUGUUUUGAUGAACAUGUUUGUGAUAAUUGUUGUGAUUGAUUA